ACUGGUAUGCAUCUGAAUAAUACAAAAUUAACAUUCUUUAGUAAACUCAAAACACUGUUUUGUUCAUUGUUGAAAAAGCCCUCUGAGAUUCCUUCUUACAAAAACCACAAAUCCAUAAUGUCAGAACGUUCCAGACUAUAUUUGUUUCCAAGAUCAAUGGAAAACAAUCUAAUUGUGCUGAAACAGUCAUCUGACUAGUAAUGAAUAAGAGAAUCAUCUUUUCACAUUAUUCAAAUACUUCUAGUUCUUCAUUGAAAAACACAAGUUCAUCAGAUCUUCUACGAUUUUUGUUUUCUGGUUCAUUGAUCAACAAUUCUGAAUGUCCUUCACAAUAUAAACGCCACAAUACUCAUGCAUAUUUUCCAAGCAGUUAUAUAUAAUAUAUUAAUGCUGACAAGGUAAAUAAAAGGCUUAGGAACAGGGAGUGCAGAACAGGCACCACUUGAACAGAUGGAGAAGAAAUGCUAAACGAAACUUGUACUUGAGAUGCAAUUAGAGCUGACAGCGGCACGUGUGAUGCUAAUGUUGGACUGUCUGAAUUUAUCAGUGACUCUAUCUUUUCUGCUUCUUUAUUGCAGGCUUCAAUCUGUGGGGAAAAAAAAAGUUGCUAUUUCUCUUCUUACCACGUAAAAUGCCAGUGUGAAAAUGUUGCUAGAUAGCAAAAUUCAGGAAAGAAAAUCUGAGUUAUUCCCAUCAGCACAUAAGAUUUACAUUGUUUUGGGGAGUAUUUAUUAGAAAACAUAGCGGAGCUCUUAUCAUAGUCCUUGGUGUGAUGAAAACUUCUGUGGAAGCCCUGAGUAGCAGCAACGGAAAGGAACGAAGCCAUAUACAAGUUAUUGUGGGUGAUGUGUUUUGAAUGUUGAUGCCAAAAAACUCACAGUAAAUUAUAACUAAGCAACUUGUGCUCCCGUGCUGGGAAACAAGAGGCAGAGCAGUCCUGCCAGCUGGCACUGCUUUACAGCCUCAGAACCUGUUCCAAGAGUCACCAGAGAUGGAGAGCUUUGUGAGGACAGAUAUAUGUCUGUACCUAUGGGAACCUGUGACAUUUUAAGUUCAGUACUUAACUACCAGCUUGGUAUCCCACUGUGGUAUCUGCGCUGCCACUUCCGAAAAAUUGCUCAUCAGAUUCCUAGAGACAUCCUGCUCGAGAUACCACAGACCUCAUUCAUUUCUCCCAAACCCAUCUCCUGGGCAGAGCUGCAAGUUUCUCAAGACUGAAGGAGCUUGACUCCUAAAGCCAAAGCUUUCCACUCCAGGGUUACCAUCUGGGUCCUGAUACUGGCUUGUUCUAGCCUUAAGUAGAGAGUGAUCUCUACUUCAUCCUUUCUCUUCGAAGUCUCAAAGACAUCAUGGAAUAUAACAUUUCAAAGCAUAAGUUUUGUUCUACAUAUCCCCCUAUUUAUACACAGAUUCUCUCCUCUCUGCAUUAAACUUCCACAGCAAAUUAACAUACCUGGUGCAAUGACUGGUUUGCAGCCAGUGGCAGAAAGCUGGGGACACUUCACAAAGGCACACUCCAUAUGGAAGCCGUAGUCCGAGAGCACCCCCACAGCCUGGCAGUGUCCAUGGUAGUCCACGGCCACGCGGUCGGAAUAGGCAGCACAGACGCUGCUGUAGGUUUCCCCAUUGUGUCCACACACAGGCUCCACUGACUUGCAAAAUGGCUGAAACACACAGGAAUGUUUCCAAGGUCAAUUCAGUCAUGCUACAGAAGCUUCAGAGUAGUUUUAACAUGAGGAAAAACAAAGCUAAAGGGAAUUCACUGCUAAUAUUGUCAAACAUUGAAAAAGUAGGAAGUUGGGAGUAAAUAACCUGCCAGUUUAUGAAUGGGUCAUAAAUGAAAAGGGUAAGUAUGUAAAGAAGGUACAGAGAAAUGUAAGGUGGAAUCUGGGAAAUGUACAAUAAAUCAUGUUUUGGAAAAGAACAACUUUUGUUCUGCGCUAACAUUUAAAUAAAAUUACCAUAUAUAAAUUAACUUGUUUAUUAAAUUAAUUAA